CAGUAGCCGCGGUAAUACGGAGGGAGCUAGCGUUGUCCGGAAUUACUGGGCGUAAAGCGCGCGUAGGCGGUUACUCAAGCAGGAUGUGGAAUCCCCGGGCUUAACCUGGGAACUGCAUUUGUGACUGGCGGGCUAGAGUAUGGCAGAGGGGGGUAGAAUUCCACGUGUAGCGGUGAAAUGCGUUGAGAUCGGAAAGAACACCAUUGGCGAAAGCACUCUACUGGGCCGACACUGACAUUGAGAGACGAAAGCUAGGGGAGCAAAUGGGAUUAGAUACCCCCGUAGUCCCUGUCUCUUAUAC
rnacentral:rRNA from 1 species